AAGAUCAUACUUCACAGGAUCAUUUCUGUAGUAUAUCUUCGCAUACUCUAUACUCAAAUUUAGAGUCGUUGCAACCAUGAUGAUGAGUUGUAGUGUUGUAUCUUGAGCGUAGGCUGACUUUCGUUUCAAAAAAUUUGUUUUUUGAACGAAGUUAACGAUGAUCGUUCAUCAACAGUUCCUUGUGAAUCGUUGAGAUGGAUGCAACACAAUCUGAGUGGC
rnacentral:snoRNA from 1 species